GUGUUGGUCUUAAUGAUCAUUCAUUCAUUUUGUGUUUCUUUAGUUAUUUGCAGUGCGUUGACGCCAUCUACUGAACACUUGUGGUAACGGCAGGUUUGGUGUACAGUUUCUAUUUCCUGUUGUAUUCUCGUUUGUAUUCUCGUUUGGAACGAGAUUAGUGUUCGGUUAGUUCACGACUUUUCCAGAGCGAGUUGUUCUCUGUGAUGUGUAAAUUCUGCUGUCAAGUUUCUUCAAACUCCGCUCAGUUGUGUUUCCCUCGGGGGCAAUGCCGUUUUACAGCUUGUUUUUGCACUGCUGUGUGUAAAAUAAAGGAGAGGAGAAAAA